rnacentral:miRNA from 1 species
AGGUGGGGCCGAGCAGCAAUGCU